rnacentral:lncRNA from 1 species
UUUUUUACAUCAAAACAAGUUACCUUUAUAUUCGAAAUGGAAGAUAUAAAAAGCCUGGGAGGUAAAAGUCGAAUGUUAAAUGGUCACAUCUCACCCAUAUAAAUAUACAAUGGCAACUCUCAGUUGAAACCUUUGGUAAUGUGAUUCAUUUGGUCCCCUGACUUUGUUGAAGUAGAAAACAAAUCUGCCCCUUGUGGGAAUAUUGAAUCAAUUAAAGAUUGUUUUUCACCCAAAUGAAAGCUCCCUUGCAUCUACCACUCCUCAUGUAGCUUCCGAAUUUUCAGCAUCAAUGCCAUGUAGCUUUUGAGAAGCCAACCAUGAAACAGCUGCGUAGCUUUCUAGCUCUUAG